rnacentral:rRNA from 1 species
GAUGAACGCUCGCGGCAGGCCUAAUACAUGCAAGUCGAACGGGAUCCAGAUCAAAGCUUGCUUUGGUCUGGUGAGAGUGGCGCACGGGUGCGUAACGCGUGAGCAACCUACCCUUGUCAGGGGGAUAGCCCGGCGAAAGUCGGAUUAAUACCGCAUGACAUCAUUGAGAGGCAUCUUUCGAUGAUCAAAGAUUUAUCGGACAAGGAUGGGCUCGCGUGACAUUAGCUAGUUGGUAAGGUAACGGCUUACCAAGGCUGCGAUGUCUAGGGGCUCUGAGAGAAGAAUCCCCCACACUGGUACUGAGACACGGACCAGACUCCUACGGGAGGCAGCAGUAAGGAAUAUUGGUCAAUGGACGGAAGUCUGAACCAGCCAUGCCGCGUGCAGGAAGACGGCCCUAUGGGUUGUAAACUGCUUUUAUACGGGAACAAACGUCGGUACGUGUACCGGUCUGAGUGUACCGUAAGAAUAAGGAUCGGCUAACUCCGUG